AGAUAGUGGAGUUAGGACUGGGGGUGGGGCGGGGAAAGCAAGGCAACUGGAGAGCCCGAGGAUUACGGGAGGAAGAGGCCGUAAGCAAAUCAUCAUCACCCUUCAAUACACAACCUGAACAUGGCCAGAUGAUACCUCCUGCUGUACCUCCACCCUUUACAUUUUUUCCCACAAAACCUCACUGGGAGGGUGGCUUAGAAACCAUGGCACACCAUCAUCCUGGAAAACCGAAUGUGAAUGAGAUGGAACCGACACCUGAUUUCUAUAGGGAUGGAACUUCAGACAAUUCCAGAAUAGAAUCCCCUGGGGCUCCUUAAUCCUGACAACUCCAGAGGGAGCUCAGAAUCAGGCCAGCCUCUGAAGAGAGCUACCUCAUAAUGAAAUAAAAAUGCCCCCCCACAAAAAAAAGCACAUCUGGGAAAGCUCGUCUCUAAAUAGAAAAGCUCCAAUGGGCUGAGUUUCUCUUCAAAUUCGCAAAAAGAUACCAUGGAAUAACAAUAAAAGCCUCAGAGCCAGGAGGACCCAGGAACAAAAUAACUAAUGUGGAAGUUAAGACCCAGAGACAUUGACUUGCACAAGACCGAAAGCAUCAGAGCCAAGCUGUGAAUGCAGGUACUGAACUCAAAAUCAGAUUUCUUUCUUCAGAGGUUACUGCAUUCAUGUCCUCCCCAACACUCUUCUUGGCUGCUGCAAUCAAUUUCCCCACAACUGCAGAAAAACACUACUCAUUCUAUUCACCCAGAAAUAAAUACAGUACCUUUA